rnacentral:rRNA from 1 species
UACGAAGGGGGCUAGCGUUGUUCGGAAUUACUGGGCGUAAAGCGUGCGCAGGCGGUUUGUUAAGUCCGUUGUGAAAGCCCCGAGCUCAACUUGGGAAUUGCAGUGGAUACUGGCAGGCUGGAGUACGGUAGAGGAAGGUGGAAUUCCCGGUGUAGCAGUGAAAUGCGUAGAUAUCGGGAGGAACACCAGUGGCGAAGGCGGUUGCCUGGAGCUUUGCUGACGCUGAUGCGCGAAAGCGUGGGGAGCGAUCCGG